CUGAUCCNGCCAUGCCGCGUGUGUGAAGAAGGUCUUCGGAUUGUAAAGCACUUUAAGUUGGGAGGAAGGGCAUUUACCUAAUACGUAAGUGUUUUGACGUUACCGACAGAAUAAGCACCGGCUAACUCUGUGCCAGCAGCCGCGGUAAUACAGAGGGUGCAAGCGUUAAUCGGAAUUACUGGGCGUAAAGCGCGCGUAGGUGGUUUGUUANGUUGAAUGUGAAAUCCCCGGGCUCAACCUGGGAACUGCAUCCAAAACUGGCAAGCUAGAGUAUGGUAGAGGGUGGUGGAAUUUCCUGUGUAGCGGUGAAAUGCGUANAUAUAGGAAGGAACACCAGUGGCGAAGGCGACCACCUGGACUGAUACUGACACUGAGGUGCGAAAGCGUGGGGAGCAAACAGGAUUAAAUACCCUGGUAGUCCACGCCGUA
rnacentral:rRNA from 1 species